rnacentral:rRNA from 1 species
UACGUCGGGGGCAAGCGUUGUCCGGAAUCAUUGUGCGUAAAGCGCGCGUAGGCGGCUCGGUAAGUCCGUUGUGAAAGUCAAAGGCUCAACCUUUGAAUGCCGAUGGAUACUGUCGAGCUAGAGUCCGGAAGAGGCGAGUGGAAUUCCUGGUGUAGCGGUGGAAUGCGCAGAUAUCAGGAGGAACACCAAUAGCGAAGGCAGCUCGCUGGGACGGUACUGACGCUAAGGCGCGAAAGCGUGGGGAGCGAACAGG